rfam:Myotis davidii contig204035, whole genome shotgun sequence.
CUGUCUCUUGCUUCAACAGUGUUUGGACAGACCCAG